UCCAGAGGUCGGAGCGCAAUUCCAGCACUGUUCUAUGUAUGUCUAUGUAUCUCCUCCCUGUGGAAUGCAUGGGUUUUCUCUGUAGCUUCUGUUUCUGAGUCCAAAGACAUACCAGUCUCGUCAAGCCGCUAUUUCGCCUUCACGUCUCAGAGAGAGUUAUUGAUGGUGCAUCAAACAUUAAGACAGAUUGCUUUGGUGUUUCCGUACUCUCCAGUCUCCGAGAGGACUCCACGAGACAGAGGAAGCGUGCGUGAACCUCAGGGUGAGAAGACAGAGGGGGACGCAAGUCCAUGUUCAACUCCAUUUCACCAAUUAAAGUGACGAGAGAUUGAAACAUUGAGAUGAAUGUGGAAGCUGAGUGCUGGCUGCCUGCCUUUUUAUCAUUGGGGUAUCACCCUGCUGCCAGAGAGGGAGACUGCCUUUUUAUCACUGGGGAAUCACCCUGCUGCCAGAGAGGGAGACUGCCUUUUGAUCACUGGUGGGAUUGCUCACUGCCAGGGAGGCAAGUCUACCUUUGGAUCGCUGUUGGAAUCACUUGCUGCCGGAGAAGGAAAGGCCUGCCGGUGUUCCCGGAGAGUGUUACCCAGGUUUUCAACAUUUUGGAUAUGAACUUAGACUAUAGACUUGUUUUCGGCCUUAUACUUUUAAAAUUCUGAGCUUUUCAUCCAAUCUUUCUCGUUUUUUGUGUGUGCAGGGGUGGGGGUUUUGGGAGGUGAUGUGCCUGCUCUGUUUUUAUUCAUCUUUUUGUGCAGGGAGGAGGGACUUGGGGGUUGAUGUUUGUACUGUUGGUCUUUUCUUUCUCAGUUCCGUGGCUAUCUGAGAAGAAUUUCAGAGUUGUAUACUUUGAUAAUAAAUGAACCUUUGAAAGCUGAUGUCCCAAUCAAUGGAAGAGGAAAGGGGCUACUGGGACCCCAGUUAGUUUAAGGAAAGCACAAGAACCAAGGCUUCAGCUAUUCUAAAGAGAUUACAGAAACCAGGGCCUCAGUUAGUGAUGCACCAUCAAUAACUCGCUAUGAGACGUAAAGGCGAGAUAUUGACUUUUAUUGACUGGAAGAAGGAACAAGCAGUGAGUGACCACCAUACUACAUCCUGGAGACUGAGAGGCCGGGCUCAGGCCUCAAUCGCCUUUACACAGGGUCUGUGGGAGGAGCCACAGGAGCAGUCAGCAGGGGGCGUGUCCAGACAGGUAUACGUAGUUCACCACAGUUAGUUUAAAGAAACGAAGGGAAAUGUAAUAAACUGUGUCAGCAAAUUUGUUGAUGACACCAAGAUUGGGGAAGUAGUGUACAGUGAGAAAAUUACCAAAGCAUACAGUGGGAUCUGGGCCAGCUGGAAAAAUCCACUGAAAGAUGGCAGAUGGAUUUUAAUGCAGACAAGUGUGAGCUGUUGCAGAUCAGAAGAGGUAAGAGUGGGGAAUAGAAAAAGAGGAGACAAGGAGGGAAUAUUGUUUUACCAGAAAGAGAAAUUGAUAUUUAUGCCAUCACAGUGGAAGCUACGCAAACAGAAUAUCAGGGCUGCUCCUCCACCCGCAGGGUUGCCCCCAACUGGCCUCUUACCUUUUCUCACCUGCUUAUCACCUCUUCCUGGAGCCCCUUCUCUCUCCCUUUCCCCUUUGGUCCACUUUCCUCUCCUUUCAGAUUCCUUUAUCUCUAGCCACCUUCCCUACUCUCCUGUCUUCAUUUUUCACAUUCUAGCUAUCCUCCUUCCUCUUUCCUCCUUUUUAUUCUGGUGUCUUUCCAAUCUUGAAGGAGGGUCUCAGGCUGAAACAUGGACUACUUGUUAGUUUCCAUGGAUGCUGCCUGAUCUGCUGAGUUCCUCCAGCAUUUUGUGUAUGUUGAUUUGAAUUUCCAGCAUUUUUUGUGUUAAUGAUAUUCUCCUCUGCGUCAGAUAUAGUUCUUAAAGAGGAGUUGUUCCAUGAAAUCUGUUCUCAGUGCACUGCAGAUAAUAUUUUGGAGCCAAAUGCUGGGAAGCCUGCACGGAACUUACAAAGCUUAACCUUUUGUGUAGCAACUAUUUCUUUGUGGCAAUGUUUGAUUCGCAAUGAGCAACACAGACAAAAUGCCAGAGGAACUCAGUAAGUCAGGCAGCGUCUAUGGUGGGGAAUAAAUAAUGUUUCAGGCAGAGACCCUUCAUCAGGACUAGAGAGGAAGGAAUGCAGCAGAAGCCAGAAUAUGAAGGUGGGGGAGAGGAAAGAGUGCAAGUUGGCAUCUGGGAGGUGGGACCAAUGUGGGAGUAUGAAGUAAGAAGCCAAGAGGUGAUCAAUAGAAGAGGUAACAGGCUGAAGAAGUUGAUUAGAUAUGAGAGGACAAUGGACCAUGGAAGAAAGGGGAGGGGAGGAAAUCAAGUGGAGGUGAUGGGCAGGUGAGGAGAGGAGAAGGGGCUAGAGUGAAACUAGAAUGGGGAAAGAGUAAAAGAGUGAUGGGGGAGAAAUUACUGGGAAAUCAAUGUUCAUGGCAUCAGGUUGGAGGCUAUCGAGAUGGAAUAUGAGGAUCUGUGCCUCCAACCUGAGUUGGGGUUCAUCAUGGCGGGAGUUGAGGCCAUGAACAGGCAUGUCAGAAUGGAAAUGGGAAUUCAAACUGAAAUAGGUUGACAAGAGAUUCUGCCUUUUGCAGCAAACAGAGCAAAGUGUUUGACAAAGUGGUACUCCAAUCUGUGUCCUGUCUCGCUGAUAUAGACAAUAGACAGUAGGUGCAGGAGUAGGCCAUUCGGCCCUUCUAGCCAGCACCACCAUUCACUGUGAUCAUGGCUGAUCAUACACAAUCAGUACCCCGUUCCUGCCCUCUCCCCAUAUCCCUUGACCCCGCUAUCUAUAAGAACUCUAUCUAACUCUCUCUUGAAUGCAUCCAGAGACUUGGCCUCCACUGCCUUCUGGGGCAGAGCAUUCCACAUAUCCACCACUCUCUGGGUGAAAAAGAUUUUCCGCAUCUCUGCUCUAAAUGGCCUACUCCUUAUUCUUAAACUGUGGCCUCUAGUUCUGGACUCACCCAUCAGUGGGAACAUGCUUCCUGCCUCCAGUGUGUCCAAUCCCUUAAUAAUCUUAUAUGUUUCAAUCAGAUCCCCUCUCAUCCUUCUAAAUUCCAGUGUAUACGGCCCAGUCGCUCCAAUCUUUCAACAUAUGACAGUCCCGCCAUUCCAGGAAUUAACCUUGUGAACCUAAGCUGCAUUCCCUCAAUAGCAAGAAUGUCCUUCCUCAAAUUUGGAGACCAAAACUGCACACAAUACUCCAGGUGGGGUCUCACCAGGGCCCUGUACAGCUGCAGAAGGACCUCUUUACUCCUAUACUCAAUUCCUCUUGUUAUAAAGGCCAGCAUGCCAUUAGCUUUCUUCACGGCCUGCUGUACCUGCAUGCUUGCUUUUAUUGACUGAUGUACAAGAACACCUAGGAUAUCAAGGGAUAUCAUACAGGCCGCACCAGGAACUCAACAAACUCACAGGUGAAGUGUCACAUCACCUGAAAAGACAGCUUGGAGCUCUGAGUAGUGGAGAGGGAGGACAUGUAGGGGCAGGUGUAAUGCUUCAUCAGGGCACUGAAGCAGAGACCCAAUGGCAGACCAAGUACUGUGUGCACUGUGGUAUUUACUGAGUAGCAAAUCCAGUGGGGGCAACAAAGUCAGUGUCAAAGUUCAGGCAGAGAUCAAAACAUCCACAGAAAUCCAAAAAACCAGAAUCAGGAAAGAGGCAGAGUCAAUAUUCAGACAGACAAAGUACAGAUACAAAUGCUGGACCAGCUCAGGAAAAUUCACUGGCACAAUCUGGCCACAAAUAGCUGAAAACACAAGACUAAAAUACAUUGAGCAGUAAGCAGAGAGGCAGAUGAUAGGUGGAACACAAUGAGAUACAGGUGGCAGCAAUACAGGUAAUAAUGAGAAACAGAUGAGAGAUGGAGUACUCAAUGAUACAGGGGCCGGAGUGGAGCAGGAGUGGGGACAGGAGCACAUGGCGAUACAAAACCACAGACUGACAGCUAGGAGGAAACACAUAAAAAGACAGAGUUCAAUGGGAGGUACUGACACACUUACAUUUGCAGGGUUAAGUGCCAGGAGGGAGAUCGAUGGGGAGAGACAACUAGACAAGCAAGUGAUAUAAUUCACCCUUCUCCAAUAAUACUCACCUUGGGGAUAAUUCCAACGACAAUUCUAAACUGGGCCCGUGCUUGUACAACACUGUUCUAGACAUCACUACCAAGGGGCAAACAGCUUGAAGAACUUAAUGGUUCAAGUAGCAUUUGUGCAGGCAAACAAAAUGUGCCGAUAUUUCAGGUUGAGAUCCUGCACCAAGGAUGGUUUGCACGUGUGGGGAAAGUUGCGUAGGAUAUUUGAGCAGGAUGUGGAAAAGAUGGGGAGGCAGAUAGGUCAAAAGUAGAACCAGAUGAGAACAGAUCAUAGAAAAUAGAACGUAAGGGGGGAAUGCUGGGCAAAUGGAGCCAGGAGGAGAAGGGAGAGGGGUAGACAAAGUGAACAAUAUGGGUGAUAAUGCAGGAGGACUGGAGGGACUGGGAAAGAAACACAAAGGGACAUGACACUGAAAAAUUUAAUGUUUAUACUAUUAGGUUGUAAGUUACCUAUCACCUGGUUCCACCCCUUACCUACCAGCUCUUGAACCACCACUCCCUUGCACUUCUCUACAUUAGCUGUGUUUUCUCUUCAACCAGAUCCUGAUACAGGCCAGACCUCAAAUAGCAACACUUACCACUUGCCUUCACAGAUACCGCUUGACACAUUGAGUUCAAAGUUAAAGUAAAUUUAUUGUCAAAGUACAUAUAUGUCACUGUAUGCAACCCUGAGGUUAACUUCCUUGUGGGCAUACUCAGUAAGUCCAUAAUAGAAUAUUAACCGUUAGAGAAUCUAUGAAACGCCACACUAACUUGAGCAUUCUACCAGUGUUCAGAUACAAAAAGAAAGAAAUAAUAGUAAUAAGUAAACAAGCAAAGAUAUUGAGAAAAUGAGAGGAAGAAUUCUCGAAAGUGAGUCCGUAGGUUGUGGGAACAUUUCAAUGAUGAGGCAACAGAAGUUGAAUGAAAUUGUCCCCUUUUGUCAAAGGGAAGCAAAGAAAACAAACAGUUUGUUUUUUUUUGCUCCAGAUUCUAGCACAUGCAGCAUCUUAUUUCUUCAUCAUUACCCAGGUGCUCUAUCAUUUACCUUUCAAUUGAAUUAAAAAGUACAUUUAAUUGACUCCCUAUCAGCAUGCAAUGGUUUUCUGAUUCAGGCAUUCCAUUUUUCAGUCAGUCUUCUUACAAAGAAUUUACGAUGUAAGAACAAAGGAAACCUGAGGCAAAUUACAGAGGUAUACGUCUGAAAUGAAAAUUAUGCUUCAUGCACAUUUUACAAUUUUUAAGCAAAAACGAUAUCAAGUGAUAAUGCAAAUGAACAACUCAGUUGACUUUAUGACCUCAAAUUUAAUCUGAAAUCGUUUUUGCUACAACAAAUCAUAAAUAACAUUACAAGCAAUGGCUUCUUGCUUGCUUAUACUUCACUGCACAAUAUUGCUGAGAGAACAAAGAAGCAAAUUUACAUUGAUAAAUGUCUUGCCUAAGAAUAUAAGAUAACCAGAAACAAAGAGGAUUUCCUAUCCCUCAGGGCAAUCCCACCAUUCAAUGAGGUCAUGGUUUAUCUAAUCAUUGCCUCAACUUCAUAUUCCUGCCUGAACCUUUGUCUCAGUUGCUGUCCAAAUAUCUGUUCCUCACAACUUCGCUCAGAGUAUCUGAAAGUUUUCUGGGAGAUGUUAGACAGAGGGGGAUAGAACUUUUAGUGUCAUAGAACUUUACAACAGAGUCACUGUAGUGAGUAUAGAGUCAAAAUGGUACUGUGUCAAGUUUGUGAACUAUCAGAAUUAUUUAAUACACAGAAGGAAGUCACUUAUCAUCCUGCAACCUAUUCUCAGUCACUCACCUACACUGUUUGUCUUUAAUAUUUCAGUAAUAUUGUAAAUAUAUUGUUUUAGUAAGCAUUCUUUAUUUGUUUAAAUAAUUCAUUCUGGGUUACGUGUAAAAGUAUGUGAAAUGCAUACUUUAUGACACUACCGCAUCAUACAUGUGUGCCUUGCUUAUAGUAAAAACAAAGUUAGACUCCCAUUCCUGACACCCUUGUUUUCCUUUCAAUUAGACACUUUAUGUUUUAGAGUUACAAAAUAUAACAUACUUAAGGGAUCUUUUACUGUAUCCAAACUAGCCGAAUAAAGUAUAAGGUAUGUGGGAAGAAACUGGAACACAUCUGGAAAAGCCACAUGGUCACAAGGAUAACAGGCAGAAUUUCAGGGAUAGCAUGCAAACUCCAAAAAGACAGCCCUCACAGUAAAAAUUGAAUGCAGAUGUUGCAGCUGUGACACAAUCAUCCCUAGUGGCUGUUUCUUCGUGCAAUUUAUGAACUUCUUUGUAUCCCCAG